GAAAGGGAAAUUUCGUCACUCCUAUGUUCCAUGCCUAGAAAUGGCUGUUUGACUCGAGGUAAACGCUUUUUUCUUAUUUGCAUAGACCCACAAAACACAUUGAUAUUUUUAAAGGUCUCCGAUGGGCAAUAUUUUCCAGCUGCCUGACUUCAUAAAGUUUCCCAGAAACUGAGUAAUUCACUUCUUCACGUCCUGCGUUUUCAAAAAUCCUCCCUACAGAAAUAGGAGUUGUCAUGGUUAGGGUUAAUAUAAGAGCUGGAACGAGAUGUUAAGUGCUCGUAUCCAUGGACAUCAGUGACUUGAAUGUUUUGACCUCGUUCUGUAUCUGACUGUACCUAUCGCGGCUUGAAUCUUGAGUACAUAAGGGCGGGGACUUUACUUGAGCCGAGUUCAACAUAGCAAUUAGUCUACCACCUUCCCCAACCCUUACCCGACAGACCUUUGAAAAAAAUAUGUUUGGCACACUUGUAGAUCUUCAACCCUUGACUGAUGUAUGGGAACCAUUUCGAAGGAGACCACUCUGGGAAAAAGAAGAUAACACAGGCUUAGCCGCUUAUCACUCGUGAAAUUUCGUUUCUGUCAUCUCCCCACGGAUUAAGACUGCGAGAGGUAGAGGAUAACACCGCAAGAUUGUUGAACACCUUCCCGGGAAGAGAUGUGCUUACCUGUAAAAAUCUCACCUCAUGCCUGGCGAAUAGAAAAGUUAGAUUCUCUCCCCCUUCCCCCUUCUCCCCUUGCGAAACCGCAGUAGGCAAGAGGUCACGAGGUCAAGCUUCGCGGGACUGCAGACGUAGCAGCUCAGCCGCUGGCUCAGGGCAAACCAUCGUCAUGUGCAAACAGCCAAACACUUUAGUCGUUUCUUUCACGCUGUUAUUUUGCCAGAUGAAGAUCAGGUCAUUGACCUGACGAGAUAUCAGGACGCUCUUUGGUCAAUCUGAUAGUUUAAAUUCGUAAAACUAGUGUGUAUGUACGCGUGAUAAAAAAAAGGAGUGUUUGUAAGUGCAUUUCCCAGGAAAGGAUGUUGCUUAGGAAACUCUACAACUUUCUAAGAAUUUUUUCUAGUUUAAAUAAAGAUGCCAAGUUCAGUCAAUUGCAAGGCUGUGAUGUCAAUAAACUCUGUAUUUUUCAAAUGGACUAGCGGUCACUUCCAAGUCCUAACCACACUACCAACAACCAGCUAGGUGGUAACGACAAAACUAGAAGCACAAGAUCAGUCUACACACUUGGCUAAUAUUUCCCUCCUUGUCGUUGCGCAAUGUUUCCACAGGGUUGUGCCUUGGCAAUGGCUGGCUGGCUGUAAGAUAAGAGUCUCCACCUGAUGGUGACUUGCCAAUGGGAGAUUAGAAAAAGCUGAAACAAAGAGCCACGACGUCCAGUCCGGUACAUUUAAGGAGAAAACAUGAUGUGAAUUUGAGAGAUGAACAAAAACCGCCACUGUAAUAUAGUGAUUGUGUCCCUUUACCACCGUUGUUUGAACGCACUGCCCUCCCCCGAGAUUUCGUAGGAUGACAGAAGAUGGAAUUUUAAAGCAAGACGUUCUGUUAGAAAAGCCAAGUACAGCAGAUAGGACUAUGGCAUCAACAACAUUCCAGAGACUGCCCAAAAACAUGAUUCCAGUGAACUAUGUGAUAAAGCUGAAGCCAGAUCUUCAGGCACUUACAUUUGACGGCGAAGAAGAAGUAGAACUUGAGGUAAAAGAAGCAACAAGUUACAUCAUCAUUAAUGCAAAGGAUAUAAGAAUACAGGAAGCCUUCAUCAUAGAGGAUGGAAAUAAAUCUCCACUGAAGAUUAGUUACAGAGAGAAAGAGGAGCAAGUAUCAUUCAUUUUGGAUAGACCUUUGAAGGCAGGUAUUUGCAAGCUAAGUCUGAAAUAUACUGGAAAUCUGAAUGAUGAGCUAAGAGGAUUUUACAGAAGCAGUUACAAAACAACAUCAGGGGAGCAGCGUUAUGCAGCAGUUACUCACUUUGAAGCGACAGGAGCUCGACGAGCUUUUCCCUGCUGGGAUGAACCUGCAAUCCGGGCUACCUUUGAUAUCAUUUUGAUUGUUCCCAAAGAAAGGGUGGCACUAUCUAACAUGCCAGUAAAGCAGGAGAAACCCUGGGAGGGAGAUUCAUCUCUCAAGGAAGUGAUUUUUGAAAGGACACCAGUCAUGUCAACUUACCUUGUUGCAUUUGUUGUUGGUGAAUAUGACUUUGUUGAAGCCGUUGAUGCCAAUGGCGUGAAAGUGCGAGUCUACACACCACCUCAGAAACAAGAGCAAGGCUUGUUUGCUCUGGAGGUAGCAGUAAAGACCCUUCCGUUCUAUGGCAACUAUUUCCAGUUGGCCUAUGAUUUGCCCAAACUAGACCUAAUUGCUGUUGCAGAUUUUCCCAUUGGUGCCAUGGAGAACUGGGGAUUAAUCAUUUACAGAGAGACAGCAUUAUUAGUUGAUCCUGUGGAGUCUUCAGCAGGCAUGAAACAAUGGGUGUCACUUGUCGUGGGACAUGAACUUGCUCAUAACUGGUUUGGAAACCUUGUCACUAUGGAGUGGUGGACACACCUCUGGCUAAAGGAAGGAUUUGCUUCCUGGAUCGAAUAUCUCUGCGUGGACCACUGUUUCCCAGAGUUUGAUGUGUGGACACAGUUUGUCACAGCAGAUCUUGGGAAAGCUCUGACUCUAGAUGCCAUGAGGAACAGUCAUCCUAUCGAGAUUGAAGUGAGACAUCCUUCAGAAGUAGAUGAGAUUUUUGAUGCCAUUUCAUAUUCAAAAGGGGCCUCAGUGAUUAGGAUGCUUCACAGUUAUUUAGGGGACCAGGAUUUUUGUAAAGGAAUGAACCUCUACCUAAUUAGACAUCAGUAUAAGAGUGCUUGCACGGCAGAUCUUUGGGCAGCUCUUGAAGAAGUUAGUGGAAAGCCUGUCGCCAGUAUAAUGAGUACCUGGACAUCACAGGCGGGCUUCCCUGUGCUGAAAGUCACCCAGAAAUGGGAAGAAGACAAAUGUGUUUUGGAAAUCACACAAAGAAAAUUUUCUGCUGAACCACUUCCUGAUGGGUCAUCUAAAGAUGACAAAAAUUUGUGGAUGGUACCUAUCACUGUCAUCACAAAGUCCAGUCCAAAAGAGCCAGUGAGUACAGCCCUAAUGGAAGCUGAUACAAUCACUAUCCCCCUUCAGGCAAAGGAUGGAGAGUGGAUCAAGAUAAAUGCAGGCACUGUGAGUGUUUACAGAGUCCAGUACAGCUCUGAGAUGCUGAACGCUUUGGUAAAUGGAAUACAGACUGGUACCCUGUUACCAACAGACAGAUUUGGAAUUCAGAGUGAUCUUUAUGCACUGUGCAGAUCUGGAUUGGUGAAUAGUGUGGAGUUUCUUCAAGUUGUUGAAACCUUUACAGCUGAAGACAACUACACAGUAUGGAAAGAUCUUCUUUCCAACCUGCAUGAAUUGGGAAAACUCUUGCAGUAUACUAAAGCAUACAGUCAUUUUAACAACUUUGUGAUACGUCUGCUACAACCCACUUUUAUGCGUCUUGGAUGGGACUCUAAAGCAGGAGAAGGGCAUUUAACAGCCAUCUUGCGGGAACUAGUCCUUAGCAAAAUGGGAGCAGCUGGGGCAAACUCCAUCAUAGCUGAAGCCAGAAAACGGUUUCAAGCCCAUUGCAGUGAAACUGAGAUAAUUCCAGGUAUACAUAACUGUGCUGAGCCAUGGAAACAAAGAAACUCUUGAAAGUAUGUUGAAGCUCUACAGAACUGCAGAUUCUUCAGAAGAGAAAACUCGUAUCAUCCAUUCCCUGGGAUGCCUCAAAGAUGAGACACUUAUUGCUCAAGUGCUGAGAUUUUCUAUCUCUGAUGAGGUGAAGUCUCAGGACUGCCCAUUUGUGA
rnacentral:misc_RNA from 1 species